GGUUUCAAAGCGUUCUCAGGACACAGCAAUAACCACAAAAGAAGAAAAUGGAUAAAUGAGGCUUCACCAAAAUUAAAAACUUCUACUCAUAAGAGGCAUCAGAAAAACAGGAGAAUGGCUGAACAAACACUGGAGUCAUUCAAUGGACUACUAUCCAGCAAUAUAAAAGAACCAACCACUGGCACAUACGACAAUAUGGAUGGAUCUCAGACAUCUGUGAUGAACAAAAGAAGCCAGACAUCAAAGAGUGCAUACUACAAGAUUCCAUACAGGUAAAGUUGAACAGGCAUAGCUAAUCUCUGGUGGAAGAACACAGGACAGAGGCAUAUGGUUGAUAUGAUGAACAUAAAUGACACUUUUAUAAUAGAUCGCUACUACUGCAACAGCACCAGACAGAACUUAGCCACUCUGCAUCACACAAAGGUAAAUUAUGUAAGAAAUCUUUACUAACACUGACAGUUUUGAAAGACUUU